rnacentral:rRNA from 1 species
UCCGGUUGAUCCCACCGGAGGCCACUGCUAUCAGAGUCCGAUUAAACCAUGCGAGUCGAGAGGGUUUAGACCCUCGGCAACCGGCUCAGUAACGCACGGUCAACCUACCCUAGAGUGGGAAAUAACCUCGGGAAACUGAGGAUAAUAUCCCAUAGGUCUUUUGUUUUGGAAUAAUAUUAGACUUAAAGCUCCGGCGCUUUAGGAUGGGACCGUGUCCUAUCAAGCUGUUGGUGGGGUAAUGGCCCACCAAACUUACGACGGGUAUGGGUCUUGGGAGAGAUAGCCCAGAGUUGGGGACUGAGACAAGGCCCCAGGCCCUACGGGGCGCAGCAGGUGCGAAAUCUCCACAAUGCACGCAAGUGCGAUGGGGGGACUCUGAGUGCUCAUCCUUUGGGUGAGCUUUUCUGAAGUCUAAAAAGCUUCAGGAAUAAGGGCUGGGCAAGAUCGGUGCCAGCAGCCGCGGUAAUCCCGGCGGCCCGAGUGGUGGCCGUUUUUACUGGGCUUGAAGCGUCCGUAGCUGGACCAAUCCGUCUCUGGUUAAAUCCCCAAGCUUAACUUGGGGGCCGCUGGAGAUACCAUUGGUCUAGGGACCGGGAGAGGGCGGGGGUAUUACGCGGGUAGGGGUAAAAUCCGUUAAUCCGCGUAGGACCACCAGUAGCGAAGGCGCCCGCCUGGAACGGGUCCGACAGUGAGGGACGAGAGCCAGGGGAGCAAAUCGGAUUAGAUACCCGAGUAGUCCUGGCUGUAAACGAUGCGAACUAGGUGCAGCGUACCCUUCGUGGAGUACGCGGUGCCGAAGGGAAACCGUUAAGUUCGCCGCCUGGGGAGUACGUUCGCAAGAAUGAAACUUAAAGGAAUUGGCGGGGGGGCACCACAAGGGGUGAAGCGUGCGGUUCAAUUUGAUUCAACGCCCGAAAUCUCACCAGGGCCGACGGCAGUAUGAUGCUCAGUCUAAAGGGCUUAGUAGACAAGCCGAGAGGAGUUGCAUGGCCACCGCCAGCUCGUGUCGUGAGAUGUCCUGUUAAGUCAGGCAACGAGCGAGACCGCUACCCUCAGUUGCUAGCUUAUCCUCCGGGAUAGGCGCACUCUGAGGGGACUGCCUGCGCUAAGCAGGAGGAAGGAAGCGGCGACGGUAGGUAGGAUGGCCCGAAUGCCCUGGGCUACACGCGUGCUGCAAUGGUUGAGACAAUGAGAUGCAACUCCGAAAGGAGAAGCAAACCCCCUAAACUCAAUCACAGUCCGGAUCGAGGGUUGUAACUCACCCUCGUGAAGAUGGAAUCCCCAGUAAUCGGAAUUCACUAUAUUCCGGUGAAAAUGUCCCCGCUCCUUGCACACACCGCCUGUCAAGUCAUCCGAGUGCGCUUUUGGCGAGGCUCUCUCUGUUUUCGAUUUUAUCGGUUAUAGGGA